AUUGAACGCUGGCGGCAUGCCUUACACAUGCAAGUCGAACGGCAGCACGGGUGCUUGCACCUGGUGGCGAGUGGCGAACGGGUGAGUAAUACAUCGGAACAUGUCCUGUAGUGGGGGAUAGCCCGGCGAAAGCCGGAUUAAUACCGCAUACGAUCCACGGAUGAAAGCGGGGGACCUUCGGGCCUCGCGCUAUAGGGUUGGCCGAUGGCUGAUUAGCUAGUUGGUGGGGUAAAGGCCUACCAAGGCGACGAUCAGUAGCUGGUCUGAGAGGACGACCAGCCACACUGGGACUGAGACACGGCCCAGACUCCUACGGGAGGCAGCAGUGGGGAAUUUUGGACAAUGGGCGAGAGCCUGAUCCAGCAAUGCCGCGUGUGUGAAGAAGGCCUUCGGGUUGUAAAGCACUUUUGUCCGGAAAGAAAUCCUUGACUCUAAUACAGUCGGGGGAUGACGGUACCGGAAGAAUAAGCACCGGCUAACUACGUG
rnacentral:rRNA from 1 species